UACAGAGGCCUCAAGCGUUAGGCGGAAUCACUGGGCGUAAAGGGCGCGUAGGUGGUGGCUUAAGCGUGCGGUGAAAGCUCGGGGCUCAACCCCGAGUCGGCCGUGCGAACUGGGCUCACUGGAGCAUAGUAGAGGCAGGUGGAAUUCCGGGUGUAGCGGUGGAAUGCGUAGAGAUCCGGAAGAACACCGGUGGCGAAGGCGGCCUGCUGGGCUAUGGCUGACACUGAGGCGCGACAGCGUGGGGAGCAAACAGG
rnacentral:rRNA from 1 species